rnacentral:lncRNA from 1 species
UGAUAGAGUUCAUGCACUUCGGAUUGAUUUAAUAUUGGCCAGGCUUUACGAAUAAGGUUCGUCAGAAUCAAUUCUGUUCCGCUUCUGAUUUUUCCGUUGUUUUAGUAUCGGACGAUUCCAUGGGUAGAAAUCACUGGGUUGCGUUGAAUUAAUGAAUGGACUUUUAUCUGCAUCGAUAUUUUGAGUGUUUCUGUUCUUCGUUUCUUUGUUAUCCGUGUGUAUUGGUUCACUGUCAUCGCUUGGUUCGUAUAAUUCCCCUUCUAUGAACAGCUUAUCUCUUAUCAAUAUAGCUUUCUUUCGGUCUUUCUUUGCCUGCUUUAAUAUAGGAUAUAGUUUUUUCCUCUUCUUUUCGAUUUUUACCGGAAAUUGUUCUCUGACAGAAAUAUGUGUCCCCUUUAAUUUGUGACAGUUCCUCAUAACUAAUUGUUUAUCUUUCAAAGAUACAAAUUUAGUCAUUAUUCUUUGAAUAUUUUGUCUUUGUUUUCCAAAACGAUGUACAGAAACGAAAUUGACAUUUUCCCUAUUCCCAGAUUUUUGCGGAUAAAAUUCUUACAAUGUUUUCUGUAUCCUCAUUUGGCUCCUGUUUUAUUCCGGAUAUUACGAUAUUGUUAGUCAUUGAUCUCCAUUGUAACUCAUCGACAUCGCUUUCAAUAUUUAUCAAUCGCUCAUUGACGCAUUUCAUAUCGAAUGUGUUUUCUUUAACAUUUUCUGCUUCCUCUAACAAUGAUAUUUUAGACAUAUUUUCUUUGCAGCGAUCUAUAAUUUUAUGCACAACCGUACCCAUUUGUUCUCCCUUUUCUUCGAUCAUUUUAUUUCGGUUAAACACAAUUUCGCACUUCUGUUCUACGUUUUCUAUUCGUGUUACCAUUAGAUCUAAUUUCCGCUCAAGUUGCGAUAUCCUAGUAACUUCGCGCUCAAGCUUUCCGCAUUGUGUCUGGAGGUCUGCCACGACAGCAAGUACAGAGUUCAAUAUAGAUAUAGUUUUGGUAUCGAAUUCUUUGUAGUCCGACAUUAUGAUUCAAAAUACAUAUAAUAAAAAUAUUGUUUUUUGCAAUUGAAUGCUGAAAGAACAAUGGAGAACAAUCAAUCGCCAC